GAUGAACGCUGGCGGCGUGCCUAAUACAUGCAAGUCGAGCGAACAGACGAGGAGCUUGCUCCUCUGACGUUAGCGGCGGACGGGUGAGUAACACGUGGAUAACCUACCUAUAAGACUGGGAUAACUUCGGGAAACCGGAGCUAAUACCGGAUAAUAUAUUGAACCGCAUGGUUCAAUAGUGAAAUACGGUUUUGCUGUCACUUAUAGAUGGAUCCGCGCCGCAUUAGCUAGUUGGUAAGGUAACGGCUUACCAAGGCAACGAUGCGUAGCCGACCUGAGAGGGUGAUCGGCCACACUGGAACUGAGACCCGGUCCAGACUCCUACGGGAGGCAGCAGUAGGGAAUCUUCCGCAAUGGGCGAAAGCCUGACGGAGCAACGCCGCGUGAGUGAUGAAGGUCUUCGGAUCGUAAAACUCUGUUAUUAGGGAAGAACAAAUGUGUAAGUAACUAUGCACGUCUUGACGGUACCUAAUCAGAAAGCCACGGCUAACUACGUG
rnacentral:rRNA from 1 species